UACGGGGGGGGCAAGCGUUGUUCGGAAUUACUGGGCGUAAAGGGCUCGUAGGCGGCCAACGUAAGUCGGAUGUGAAAUCCCCAGGCCUUAACCUGGGAACUGCAUCCGAUACUGGAUGGCUUGAAUCCGGGAGAGGGAUGCAGAAUUCCAGGUGUAGCGGUGGAAUGCGCAGAUAUCAGGAGGAACACCGGUAGGCGAAGGCAGGCGCUGGGACGGUACUGACGCUGAGGCGCGAAAGCGUGGGGAGCGAACAGG
rnacentral:rRNA from 1 species